rnacentral:tRNA from 1 species
CGGGGUGUGGCGCAGCGGAAGCGCGCCUGGUUUGGGACCAAGAGGUCGCUGGUUCGAAUCCAGUCGCCCCGACCA